rnacentral:rRNA from 1 species
CCUGCGAAACCCAAAAGAUCGAACGGGGAGAUUCAUCGUCAGCGAUCCUGGUAUCUGUACGGUUCGCGAUGCCGGGGACUUCGGUCUCUCGGCACGCGUCCGUAUGUUUUUCAUGACCGGGUAUUGUCGGCGUGCACUUCUCCCCUAGUAGGACGUCGCGACCCGUUGGGUGUCGGUCUACGGCCCGGGUGGGCGCCUGCCCUGCGUUCGCCUCGCGGCGUUACGCGGGUCAGACCCCCGGUUGCCCGACCGGCUGCUUCCCGGCGGUACUCGCACGGUAUCGAGUCGCAGACAUUAGAACUGCGUCCGGCCCGCCGCAAGCGAGACCAGUGAUAAACCCGGAUGUACGGAUCUAACGCCGUCGCCGGGCCUGGUCGGCUGUUGGUUGGCGGUGUCCUCGGACUGGCUCAAACAUAAAUUGUGAUACCGGUCGGCGACGCUACUGCUUUGGGUACUCUCAGGA